rnacentral:ncRNA from 2 species
GGGGGAGUAUAGUAGCAUGGCUGAAACUUAAAGGAAUUGACGUAAGGGCACCACCAGGAGUGGAGCCUGCGGCUUAAUUUGACUCAACACGGGGAAACUUACCAGGUCCAGACAAAGUAAGGAUUGAUAGACUGAGAGCUCUUUCUUGAUUCUAUGGGUGGUGGUGCAUGGCCGUUCUUAGUUGGUGGAGUGAUUUGUCUUCUUAAUUCCGUUAACGAACGAGACCUCAGCCUGCUAACUAGCUUCGUGGAGGCAUCCCUUCAUGGCCGGCUUCUUAGAGGGACUAUGGCCGUUUAGGCCAAGGAAGUUUGAGGCAAUAACAGGUAUGUGAUGCCCUUAGAUGUUAUGGGCCGCACGCGUGCAACACUGAUGUAUUCAACGAGUUCACACCUUGGCCGACAGGCCCGGGUAAUCUUUUAAAUUUCAUCGUGAUGGGGAUAGAUCAUUGCAAUUGUUGGUCUUCAACAAGGAAUUCCUAGUAAGCGCGAGGCAUCAGCUCGUGUUGAUGGCAUUGCCCUUUGUACACACCGCCCGUUGCUCCUACCGAUUGAAUGAUCCGGUGAAGUGUUCAGAUCGCGGCGACGUGGGUGGUUCACCGUCUGCGACGUCGCGAGAAGUCCACUAAACCUUAUCAUUUAGAGGAAGGAGAAGUCGUAACAAAGUUUCCGUUGGUGAACCUGCAGAAG